UCCAUCAGCUCAGCGAACCGCAAUUGUCUCAUUGACAGCAAGCCCAGCAAGGAAUCACUUGGAAUAUUAAUUUUCGUGGCCUUUUGCAAUCACACGAAGCUUGGCUCCCUGCGCUUGCCGUAACGCGGCCUCUACCAUUGCUUUCCGGCGGCGGGGGGGGAUUUGGCAGCAGCGGAAGAAGGAGACCGGAGGGUGUGUGUUGGGGAAAGCCGGAGGCAGAGGAGGACGAUUGUUUUACGGAUCCCGUGAUCGGCCCGUCCUUCUCCCCUUUCCCCCCUCCCUACCGCCCCUGUCCCGCCGGGCAGCGGUGGCGGCCUUGGACUUCGCUGUCUUUCCUCCCGGAGACAGAUUUCAACACUACACUUGCACAAUGUCUUUGAAACCAAGAGUAGUUGAUUUUGAUGAAACAUGGAACAAACUUUUGACGACAAUAAAAGCUGUGGUCAUGUUGGAAUACGUCGAAAGAGCAACAUGGAAUGACCGCUUCUCGUAUCCUUUUAAUGGCAGCUCGAUCAGUGUUCUCAAAUUGAUAAACUUGUUGAAAAGUGAGAAGAUGUUCAAUGUUAUGAAAGAACUUUCCUAUGUAACUAUUUUCUAAUGUAUUAUUAUCUACAUUUCCAAGUUCAUCACCUCUUUUAUGGCAAUCAGUAUUUGAUAACCUUUCAUUCAACAAAUAUUUAUUGAGUACUUAGUAUCUGUCAAGGACUACUUUAGGCUUUGGGAAUACAGUUGGUGAACAAAAAAAAUACCUUUCUAUUAUAAAAAUAGAAACAGACACUAAGCAGGUUAAAAAAAAUCUAAUGUCAUUGCUUUUAAGAAGAGGUCGUGAUAAAUGAAAGCAGGAUAAGGACGUGGGGGAGGCUUGGAGUACCUGUAUGUGUGCUGCUCUUUUAGAAUGGGUGGCCAAGGAAUGCCUCCGUGAGGAUGGUGACAUUAGAGCAGAGACUGGCAUGCAGCGAGGGAGCAAGCCAUGUGAUUUUGGGGGGAAGAGUGCGCUUGGUGGAGAGUGAACAGCAAGUUCAGUGACUGGGGUGGAAGCGUUUUUUUUUUUUUUUUUUUUUUUUUUUGAGACGGAGUCUCGCUCUGUCGCCCAGGCUGGAGUGCAGUGGCGCAGUCUUGGCUUACUGCAAGCUCUACCUCCCAGGUUCACACCAUUCUCCUGCCUCAGCCUCCUGAGUAGCUGGGACUACAGGUGCCCAUUACCAUGCCCGGCUAAUUUUUUUUCGUAUUUUUAGUAGAGACGGGGUUUCACCAUGUUAGCCAGGAUGGUCUCGAUCUCCUGACCUCAUGAUCUGCCCGCCUCGGCCUCCUAACUUCCUGGGAUUACAGGCAUGAGCCACCGCGCCCAGC
rnacentral:lncRNA from 1 species